ACGGGUGGGGGUCCUCCACCAAAAGAGUCCCUGACGUCACUCGAAGAGCAGCUUGCCUCCAUGAUUGGGCAAACUGCAACGAGUGGCAUACAAGGCACGGAAGAGUUUGGUGUUAGCAGGCCACCCUCUCCAGCCCCAGUGAAUACGGCCGACGUGGAGGUGGCCGCUGCUGAGUGUGAAGUUCAGGCAGAAGGCACGGAGCAUGUUACUUCAUCAAGUGAGUUCCAAUUGCCAGAAAUGCCGGGGCCACCAACAGAACUCCCAGAUUCAUCCGCCAGGGAUAGGAAUGGGAGGAGACGACGGCAACGCCAGCAGAGGCAGCGGCGAGCCCAUACUCCUCAUGACUAUGGACAAAUGUUCUUGACACAGCAGAGGCUGCAACAGGAGACACUAGCAUCCCUUGCUGGAUAUCUUGAGCGCAUAGCUGCAGCUACAGAGAGACAGACUGCAGUACUGGAGGCAUUUUAUUCAAGUGUAACUUUUCAUUCAAUGUAGUAAGUGGUGUGCAUCCAUUUACAACACAUGUUUGAGCAAUGUAACAGAAGAG